ACGUGUGUGUGUGUGUGUACGCAAAAGCAUGUGUGCACAUAUGCCCUCAUAAGCACACACACACACACACACACACACAUGCACACACACACAUUU
rnacentral:miRNA from 1 species